rnacentral:rRNA from 1 species
UGCGCAGGCGGUUGUGUAAGUCAGAUGUGAAAUCCCCGGGCUCAACCUGGGAACUGCAUUUGAGACUGCACGGCUAGAGUGUAGCAGAGGGGGUAGAAUUCCACGUGUAGCAGUGAAAUGCGUAGAGAUGUGGAGGAAUACCGAUGGCGAAGGCAGCCCCCUGGGUUACUACUGACGCUCAUGCAUGAAAGCUGGGGAGCAAACA